AGUCGUAACAAGGUCUCCGUUGGUGAACCAGCGGAGGGAUCAUUACCGAGUUAUUACUCCAAACCCUUUGUGAACCUUACCUAUGUUCUGUUGCCUCGGCGGGGAGGAAGACCCCUUAAAAAGGGCCCAGCCCCCGCCGGCAGCACCAAACUCUUGCAUUUAUAGCGGAUUACAUUUCUGAAUACAAUACAAAACAAAUCAAAACUUUCAACAACGGAUCUCUUGGUUCUGGCAUCGAUGAAGAACGCAGCGAAAUGCGAUAAGUAAUGUGAAUUGCAGAAUUCAGUGAAUCAUCGAAUCUUUGAACGCACAUUGCGCCCGGCAGUAAUCUGCCGGGCAUGCCUGUCCGAGCGUCAUUUCAACCCUCGAGCCUAGGUUUUUACAAGCCCAAGGAUCGGUGUUGGGGCGCUACGGUUGUCAUCUGACCGCCGUAGGCUCUGAAAUACAGUGGCGGUCCCGCCGCGGCGCCUUCUGCGUAGUAGAUUUACAACUCGCAUUGGGUCCCGGCGAAGGCCAGCCGUCAAACCCUCUAUUCUUAUGGUUUGACCUCGGAUCAGGUAGGGUUACCCGCUGAACUUAAGCAUAUCAAUAAGCGGAGGAA
rnacentral:misc_RNA from 1 species